UAUGACUUUAAAUUCUUCUCUGCACGGAAACCUGUUGACACCUCCUUUUCAAGCUCUUUGUGUGGUCCCAUCUGUUUACAAUUCACUAAUACUUCGGCUCAGGAAUUUCGGGGUUAACUGAAAAUCAGAUUUUCAGCAGAGGCAGAUCUCAGGGAAGCACGGAAUCUGGUGAGAUGACAAUUGUAGUUCUCUGGGGAAGUAAACUCAUAGGAUCACAAGCCCCUAUCCCAGCGUCUAUGCGCUCAAUGGCUGUUGUGAACAUAAACCUGAGCCCAUUGUCCCAGCAGCAGAAAGAAAUCAGGUGAGUAGUUUAUAUUUCAAUCUGUAAGCAGAGUCUAUUGUCUGUGGAUCAAUAGACAGAAUACGUGCUCUUUUCUUGAAAAAAAAAAUUUCUGGGUCACAAACUGACCAGGA
rnacentral:lncRNA from 1 species